AGUCUUUGCUAAAUCAGCAGUACAUAGGGGACCAGAGCUGCAGACAAGCUGAAGAGCUCCCAUUGAUUUCUCCCACAUUUGAACUGCUCAGCAUUUCUAGAAGGCAGAACCCUAACACCUCUCCUGAGCUGGGGACUAAUCUAAGAGACUUGCCUUUCACAGCUACUGCUCUGGCCACAUCACCCCCAAAAUGCUGACUUCAUUGCAUUUUGCACAGAGCUGCUACUGCGGAGAACAGCAGAGUGAAGGAAGAGAGAAUUAAUGCUAACGCGUCUCGCAGAAAAGCAGUCAAUAGCUGAGAAAUCUGUCUCAGGCUAUUUCCCUCACACCCUUCUGCACAGUAUAAUUUAAUCUCCUGACAGCACGGCCUGUCAAGCCCCCGAAGGGAGCGCAUGUGGACACACAGGCUGCUGCGUCUGGCUGCUGAGGCAGCGGCAGCUCGGCUCUAUGGAGAUGUACACAGCAAACCGCCGCUUGCCAACACUGGGAAGCACAUGGACCUUUUUGGGGGCGUAGAAUCAGCGCUGCCUUCUGCAGCUAGUGGGAAUUGGCCAUGUCAUGUGUUUAUCCACUCUGUAUGAAGAUAUGGGACUUAAAUCAUCAAACAUGGAGUGCAGUGCUGCUUAGCCAGUCGUACUAUCUGCUCAGGUUCUUGUUCAAAGCUUCUCUGCAAGGCAGGGUACACAAGGACCAUGUAGGAGAAAGGGUGAAAGGUAGGAGAUGGAAAUUUCAAUGAAAUUAAGAAAGGAGGAGGCAAACAUAAACAUAUAGCAUAGGCUAAUAACAAUUUUGUGAAUAAUCAAAGCUUUCUAUGUGCAGGAUGUCUCGAACCACUGCAAAAUUGGUGGGUUUUAUAGAUAGCCUAGUCCCCAAACAGCACUCGGGAUCUUCACUUGCUUUUUGGAAUUAAGGGACCCAUUAUACUACAAAAGUAAUGUGUAAAAAAUUUUGACUCUGACUUAGAAACAGCAUAACUGAAUGCUGACUGUACCAAGACUUCUGGAUAUGCAUCAAAUGUUUGCAGCCUAGCACCUGAAAACUCCAGAUCCUGGCUUGAGGAUGGCUGGGAGGAGGGCUCAAUUGGGAAAACUCCUUCAGCUGUUUUGGUCUACAGAGUAUUUGCUGCACAGUACCUGGAGUGUUAAGAAUCAAACCUCUUGUAAAGUAAAAAAUGUAUCUACAGAAAGAAAAGCAUGCAAUUUCCAGAAUGUUUUCAUAGACAAAACAGGAUCUUAAAUGGAAUCUAUAGUAUAUUUUUUUACUUUUCUGGAUUUUUAAUGGGUUUUGGUUUUUUGUUUGUUUCCUGGUUUCUUAGGGUUUUUCUCUUUUAUUUCACUUGUGUAAAGCAGCUUCAAAAUAGCCUGUGAGCUAGUAAAUCAAUAGAAUCCUUUGUCCAGGAAUGCUUUUGAUUUGGUUCCCAUGCUUAGUCUGUAACCUAUGCUGCCUUUUCACUGGUCUCUGACAAGUGAGAACAUUGUGACUUUUGAGACGAGAUUAGGACAUCCCAACAGUCCUGGAGUUCAUUUUCUUCACUGGCCCUGGUCAACCCGGAAUUGAAGAGCAGUCAUUAAUAUGAUUUAUAAGGAAUUCUGGAAAUCUGAUUUUACCCUAAAUGAGAAGGUAGUUUCCAUUUUCUAAUAGAAAUUAUGGUGUAAAACUGUUCCUACCUUAGCCUUCAUGAUCAAAGACAUAUGAAUUUUCUGUAAUUGUAUAUUAGUCUCAUCCUGCAACUAUUAUCUUCUCACAUUUUUCCUGCUAUUAAAGAUAUUGCACUGGAGAAGCUUUAGAAAACAACAAAAAAAAUUACACUACUCGAGAGUAAUGGAUGCCUCUGCUCGAGGGCCACAUAAAACCUUUUAAGUUAACAUGUAACCUUACAUGUUGCUGUUGACAUUUGGAAGAUUCUUCUGACAUUUCUUUCUAUUACUUCAGUGUUAAUAAGUUUAAAUAGGAAAUGUUAGUCUUGGUUAGGAAGUACCUGGGUUUGAAGGAAAUGUAGUGUCUGGGAAAUGCCCCAAAGGAAGGACAUUACAGAUGGGACAUUAAAGAUUUGCCUCACAAAUACGGGGCAUGCACAGAAGCCAAGAGACACAUAGAAUCACAAAAUAGCUUGAGUCAGAAAGACCUCUGAAAUCAUCAAGUCCAACCAUUAACCCAGCACUGACAAGUCCACCACCUGAUCAUGUCCCUAAGUGCCACAUCUACAUGGCUUUUAAAUACUUUAAGAGUUCCACCACUUCACUGAACAGUCUGCUCAAGUGCUUGACAAAUUUUUGAGUGAAGAAAUUUUUCCUAAUAUCCAAUCUAAACCUCCCGUGGUACAACAUGAGGCCAUUUCCUCUUGUCCUAUUACUUGUUACUUGGGAGAAGAGCCCAGUCCUCACCUCACUGCAGCCUCCUUUCAGGCAGUUGUAGACACCAAUAAGGUCUUCCCUGAGCCUCCUUUUCUCCAGGCUAAAAAACCCAAGUUCCCUCAGCUGCUCCUAAUACCACGUAAAACACAUCUAUUUCAAUGUAUGUUGUAUUUAACUUAAUAUGUAUUUCAGAGGAAGCGGCGAAUACAAACAUAGCAGUGAUUUCACUAUUAAAUUUGUAUUUCUGAAAAAAAAACCCAAACCAGACACCACCUAUGAGCAAGUAUGAGUGGGAAGAGGAAAAAAGAGGUAGUGUUUGGGCUGGAUCAUUGCUAGGUGAAAGGAGACAAAUCAAUUUUUUUGUGUGUGGAAUUUAGUGGUUUGUGGCAAAUUUCCUCCCCAUUUUACCUUUUCUCUCUCCAUUUUAAGGUGAAGGGUGAUGCUCCUCAAAGCUGCUGUCAGUGGAGAUGUUGAGUAGAACAAAACCCCUUUGACUCUACUUCCCAUUGUACUUUUCCUUCCAAUAAAAACUACUGGUGGUGGGCCAACUUCUCAAGCCUCUUGUCACACAUGUACUGACAUGGCUGAACAAGACCUCUCCCCACCCCUCAUUCAGAUCAUGGGGAGGAAUGUGAGGAGACAGAAAGGGAAGGGAUAACACAGAAAGUGGAGAAAAGAUGGGGAAAAGGUAUAGAUAGAAAACAGUCUAAUAGAAUGACAAAGCUAUUAUUCUCAGUUAUAGAGAACCUCACCUUCAGGAAAUUAGGUAAUUUGGAGCUUUUCAAAAGAAUUAUUAAGGAAAGGCAAGAAUUAUUACCUAGUACUAUUUACUUUAUAGGGAAAACUAAAAAAGCUAAAUAGGACAGCUAAACAGAAAAAUCAAAAAGAUAUGUGCACAAGCUGUCCUUUGUACAGUUGGAUCACAGAGGACACUAGUCCUGGAGCCCACUAUAUAAUAUCAUGAUUAUGGUUAAACUUCAAGAGCAGAUAUUUAGAUUAGAUUACCUGGAAGAAAUUCUUUUACUGUGAGGGUGGUGAAGCACUGAAAUGUGUUGUCCAAAAAACUUGUGGAUGCUUCAAACCUGGAAGUGCUCAAGGCAGGCUGGCUGAGGGCCUCAGCAACCUUGGUCUAGUGAAAGGUGUCCCUGCCCACAGCAGAGGUGUUGGAACUAGUUGAUUUUUAAGACCACCUCCAGCCCAAACCAUUCUAUGACUCUGUGAUAGUGAGACACAGACCUCAAAAUGUUCUACACACGUUGACUACCUAAAAAAUACAUAGGGACUGCAAAAGGCAAGCAGUGGUGGAGAACAAGAGAAAUUCUCCAGAUGGGAUACAAGUGAGUGCACAUCUAUCUGAGUGAUAUUUUUCUACCAUGUAUACUUAAGCAAAUAUUUAGGAACAAUGGGAUGACAAUUAGCAUAAUAAAUAAUAGAGUGAUUUCCAUGGAAGCUGCUCUAAUUCUGACUGACCUAGGCAAAAGUUCCCUUGCUUCCACAUGAACCUUUAAACUUGACUGAAGUCUGUAUUUGAGGAAACAAUAGUGAAAUAUAUUAUCUAGGGAAGGGACAUGCGGUGAUCACUGCACCUUAGAGAGGAACCUCCAAGCUCUUGCUAGUUCAGCUCUGGUUGGCAUUAUCUCCAUCUCCUCCUGCUUUCAUACACAGGCUCAUGAAUGAUGCUAUUAAUCAGCAUCAAGUCCCCAGAGCACCUCCUGCUCUGGAAUGCCACUGAUGAGCAGAUGGGAUUUUUGGCAAGAAAUGACCUGGCACAAAAAUGAACAUAGAAAAAGAGUACUAGAGGGGAGGGGGAACUGCCUGGAGUUCCUCAUUUAAAAGAAUGGAGGAGAAGAGAUUUAUCUUCUCUUCUGAUACCACAUUCCAAUGUACAGUCAUCUAAGGAAUUAUCAGAAGCCACCUGUGCACAUCAACACAGGCCAAUUUCCUUCCUUAAUGGUCUGGUAUAUCUAUAUUUGUCUGGGUAUAUUUAAUAGGUAAUGCUAGCAGCUACCUACAGUGGUUCAAUGCAGGUUAACUAAAAAUUGUUGACUCAGCCUCUUGGCUGGGCUCUGCAGCUCACAGUGAUGUCCAGGCAGAUGCUGUGCUAAGAACCCAACUGGCUAUUUUAAACUAGCAGGGAUACAACUGUCUGAACAGCAGCAGUGUCAGCCUAGAAGAAGGCCUGACCUAAAGUCUUUUGAAGCCUGUUUCUCACCCCUCUCCCACAUAUCCUUUUGCUCAGCAAAUAAUAGACAGGCCUCCCCCUGAUACUCCUGAAAUUCACAUACAGGAGGUGGGAGCUCAUAUUCUUCAGUCAUGAAAUUAGUAAGAUAUCUCAGGAAGUUUUUCCACAUUAAACAUUACAGGAAAUUGCCUCACUGUGAGUGAAAAGAAGAUUCAGAUCUUAUGGGUCAGGGACUACUCAGAUUUAAUUCUGUAAAUCUCACUGGUGGUUGUGGAAGCUGGGGAGACAUCCCAGGUUACAUUCUGCACCUUUGGAGUGCUACAAUGCUGAAAAUCACAUUACACAUCUUGGAUUCAAAUACACAUAUAAUACUUGAAACAGCAAAAAAGAGUAUUUAUUUCUGACAUAUUUCUCCCUUUUUUAAGAAAUCUUCUGUCUUCUUGCUCUUACCAAAUAAAACACACAGCAGAACACAGAGUUAUUCUGUCAACAAAGCAGUGUAUCUGCAGUCUAGAAGACAAACACCUGCUCAAGGAUCAUUAGUGGAGAAUGGAGAGGGAAAUCUUCCCUGUCCCACGCUUUCCCCUCACACACAGUUUGAAGACACAUGGUGCAUCAUUUGGUGAUGCACACGGCACAGAAAUGCUGCUUUCUAUAGCUCGUGGCAUACAAGGCUCAAGAACCACUUUACAAACACUAACAAAUGAAACUCUGUCUCUAUAGCACCAGGGUUAUCACCUCUCUUGAUUUUACCCUAAGUCUCUCAACUUUACUUGUCCUACUCUAUUUUAUGUGAAGCCCAAACUCUCAGAAGUCAAAUGAUGUGCAAGAUCCAUGGCUAUAUAAUUGGGCAGCAGCUGGCAAAAAUCAAGCUUAUGAUUCAGAAAUCUGAAACUAAUUGAAAAAGUUCCCACUUGAGAGGAAAAAAAGUCUUGCUUCUUAUGUAAAUUCUCUUAUUGCAUGACUGGCUUCUGAUUUCUAAUUCUUGGGCUGGUAAACUGGAGCAUUUCUCCACUAAUGGGCAAGUACUCUUAUCCCUAGCUGGCAGAUCAGAAAAUUACAAGGCAGCACUAAACCUGGCUACAGUAUAAGUGAGUAUUCAACACAGCUAAAUUCCUUUUACAUACUGCAGCAUUGAGCUGUGCCUGCAAAAAGGGCAAAUGAUGCAUUUAAGAACAAAACAUGGGCAAACCUGGAGCAAAAUCCAACUGUCUUACUCUUAGCCCAGUGUUUCAACAUCCAAGCAUGCUCUUGUCUGAACUCGUAAUUCAGGAAAAAACCCUCCUAUUUUAAAAUAAAAAUCUGCAAGCCUCCCUGCAGAUAUAUUUGAAGAAAGAAAAACCUAGUAAAAACCACUGGAGCCUCUCAUACUGUAUUAGGGACCUGAAGAGAAAAAGGAGUACAUUUUUAAAGGACUUUGAAGGUAGUGCCUCCUGUUUAGAUUGCAGUAAACUAGGGAUAAUUUCCCAGCCCAAGCAGCAGCAAGAACAACAGCAGCACUUCUAGACCCACAUGAUGCAAACCAGCUCAAAAGACAGCAGACAACAACAGGAUUAGGGACAUUUCCAGGAGCUAAGGAGUUAAGCAGAUUUCACUCCCAUUCACAUCCUCACAUCCUCAGGAAGUCAUUACAGAGCCAUCUCUAGCAUAGCUGGGACCCAGAGAGCUUUUGUUUGGCUUGCAGUGUGUGACAGGAGCUGGAGCCCACAGGCUGUUCAGUGCCCACUGAACAGGGUGAUAGGAGCUGUGUUGUGCACUGGGGAGCUUGCACAUCAUUCCCAGUGAGUGCAGGGCUACUGACUUUCCACGGACAAUACCUUGCUGUACAAACAAAACAAGAAUCAUACAUUCUCCUCUGACUUAUCCUGCUGUCCCCCUCUGUCCCACUUCCCCCAGGAUGCCACUGAAAGCUGGACACCUGGAGGAAUAGAGCAAUUGCUCUAUACCACCCAAACGUGAAGGAAAAGAAACAGCAAAAUAAAAAUAUGGCAAAUGCAAAAAAUAAAUAAGCUCUCCCCUAAAAAGCUUAAAAAAUAAAGAAACAUUUGCAGGCAGUUUAAUUUCAACACGUAUCGAAAGGGAACAAGAAGACUGGAUGGUGUUAAGGUCCAUAAAGUAGGUUAUAAACAGUUCCACAAGGGCAACACCAUAUAUUGUAACAUGCAAUUUUAUAGAGACCUUCAAAUUAAAAUAAAAACACUGGGUAGUUGGGGCUCUCUCUCAUGACUAUGAAAAGUCAGGAAAGAAGAGAUGGUACCAAGAAUUUAUAAACUGCAGAGGAGAAAGAAAGCAUCAGAAAAAAAGGAGCUAGUAAACAUUUUAUUUUAAAAUAUUGUUUUAUUUAAAAAAUAAUUUGGUGGGUUGCUUCAAUUUAUUUCCAGGUUAAAAAAACUGACUAAGGCUUCUGUGAGCUCUCUUCAAGGCACAGCUAUUAAGUAAUGGAAAAGACUCCUUUAAGUAAUAAGUAAUCAAGCCAGGAAAUAGGGAGGGAUUUUAGGAACUAAAUACCCUACAUAAAUUAGUAGCUGUCUCUUAGAUGUCUUCUGUUCUCUUUUUAACCCUGGGGAAGAGAAGGGGUGAAAGAGAUAAAAAAAUAGAAACAAAAUCAGAAUAAUGCUUUGCCUUUCCUUGCAUCUGUCAGGCUGAGAGUGAAAGCCCUUCUUGGAAGAUGAAGGUCGGGGGAGACAGCUACAACAAACAGGCUGCCCCUACAUCCAAACCAUGGAUAACCAGCAAGGAUAACCAAGCAGCACCUUCCUAUGUGUUCACUCUGCAUCAUGUGGCAACAGAAGCAAGGCAAGGCUCUCUCAGCCACUGAACUCACAAGGUAAAAGGCGAGCCUUCCCAAACUGCUCCAUCCAUGCUGACAGACCCCAAAUGACACCCACCAACUGCAAAGCCAAGUCCAAACUCCUCUUAGAAGUGGAAGACUGGAGUUAAUGUGACACUGA